rnacentral:rRNA from 1 species
CCUACGGGAGGCUGCAGUCGAGAAUCAUUCACAAUGGGGGAAACCCUGAUGGUGCGACGCCGCGUGGGGGAAUGAAGGUCUUCGGAUUGUAAACCCCUGUCAUGUGGGAGCAAAUUAAAAAGAUAGUACCACAAGAGGAAGAGACGGCUAACUCUGUGCCAGCAGCCGCGGUAAUACAGAGGUCUCAAGCGUUGUUCGGAAUCACUGGGCGUAAAGCGUGCGUAGGCUGUUUCGUAAGUCGUGUGUGAAAGGCGCGGACUCAACCCGCGGACGGCACAUGAUACUGCGAGCCUAGAGUAAUGGAGGGGGAACCGGAAUUCUCGGUGUAGCAGUGAAAUGCGUAGAUAUCGAGAGGAACACUCGUGGCGAAGGCGGGUUCCUGGACAUUAACUGACGCUGAGGCACGAAGGCCAGGGGAGCGAAAGGGAUUAGAUACCCGUGUAGUC